rnacentral:sRNA from 1 species
ACAUGCACUAGCCAUAUCACACAUCUUCAAAUGUGUUGGACACAGUGAUUUUAUUUUAUUUCCCAAAGCUCUACCUCUUAACUGAUGUUAGUCACUAAUUCUAGCUCAUAACUGCUUUUCGGAUGUUGAAGAGCUCUGAAUAUUGAUGUAUAACAACUGAUGAAUAAAUACAGGCUGAGGGUGUGUAAAAGAUGUUUAGAUUUUAGUGAGGGAUUGAAGGGCUGAGUAUGGUUUAUUUUUCAGAUCCACUUUUUUUAGACCAUGUUCAACUGUAACUAACCCGAGCAAGAAUGUAUAUAGUAAGCAGA